rnacentral:rRNA from 1 species
GUUCUGGCAUCGAUGAAGAACGCAGCGAAAUGCGAUAAGUAGUGUGAAUUGCAGAAUUCAGUGAAUCAUCGAAUCUUUGAACGCACAUUGCGCCCCUUGGUAUUCCAUGGGGCAUGCCUGUUCGAGCGUCAUUUGUACCUUCAAGCUCUGCUUGGUGU